GAUAGCCGCAACCCUCGUCCCCCCACUCGGUACUCUGGCUACUGAAGUACUGAGUAUCAAGCGGCUGAGGAUGUUGAACCUGUAUUGGUGGUUGCAGGUGUUCGGAAGCAUCAAUCGAUCUACAUUGAUUCUCCUAUCAUCGUCGACAAUGCCUCCUAAUCUUACAAAUGUGGCCUUCUUGUUGUAGGAUUUGGACUCCCUCAACUUCCAGUCCUGGUGUACAGAGCUGCAAGGCAAAGACGUUCUGCAAGGCAAAUAAAGAUUGAUGUGGAAACGACACUCAGACUUAAGCAAGGGCGUGUUGUCUUUGCUAACGCCUGCACGCAGAGAGGAGAACAAGCCAAAACCAAUUUAGUGCUAAUAGAAAAGAAACUGGCUUUGUUGUUGUAGUUGGCACAUCAUAGCAGCAUUUCAAGUGCAUUUGCGGGGGAAACUAGAUUUUAUGUUGCCAUCGUCGAUGUUUCAUAUGAUUUGUAUGAUAAAUUCAUGUGUUCUUUCAUUCUUGUUAUAUAUUCAUUAUCAGCUUUACUCCCUUUGAAUUUGAGAUUGAAUUUCUUGUAUUUUUUUUUUUGAUAAGCUGAUAUUGAAUUUCUUAAAUUUGAUUUUAUUGAUUUUACAGUUCUUUGAAGUCCA